AACGCAUAUUGCGCCCGCCGGCAUUCCGGCAGGCAUGCCUAUUCGAGUGUCGUUUCAACACUCACUUUGUGAUGUUAGUAAUCCUCAGGGUUACUGAAAAACAGUGGCUGUAUAGCUCUAUUUCACUACUGGAUAACUUUUUUAGUUUUGAGUAUAGAGUAUCACAUGCCCUAUCAAUUCCACUUUUGACCUCGAAUUAGGUAGGAAUACCCGCUGAACUUAA
rnacentral:misc_RNA from 1 species